GACGACCACCAUCUAAGUGAGCAGCGGAGACGACGAUGAAGGGCUAGACCACCGGCGACCACCAUCGGAGAGAGCAGUGGCGGUGAAGCCGAAGGGCGAUGUCGACGAAGGAGCAUAGUAGCGGCGACGUUGAUCAGCGAAGCAGCGUAGGCAGACCAGAGAAGCUUCGACACGAAGAGCUUGACCAGCGACGGUGACGACGUUGAGGAAAAAGGAGCAGCGGCGGCGUUUUCUUGCGGUACGGUCUUCUCCGUUUUUUUUUUCAUUGACUUUCUCGAACAAUCCAUUUCGAAAUGGGUUCGGAUCAGAAAGUGCAUGUCUUUGAGGAAGUCGCCCAGCACAACAAGACUAAGGAUUGCUGGAUAAUCAUGGAUGGAAAGGUUAGAUCUUUAUUCAUCCCUUUUGGUUUUUUCUCAUGUGUAAUUGCGCCUGAAGAUGAAUCAGGGAUGAUUCACAAGUUUUUGAGGUUUUUAGACAGAUUUCAGAUGGAAUUUUGAGUAUUUUUCCCAAUUACAAAAAAGAUGGGCAUUCUUUAUGUUCUGUGGCUGUAAAGUUUUGAUGUUUUUCAUUGGAUUCUUACUUUGUUUACUAAUGAUUGUUGCCUUGUUGAGCU